rnacentral:rRNA from 1 species
GAAAGGGAAUCCGGUUCUAAUUCCGGAACCCGGUUGCGGAUACGUCCGAGCUCUCGUAGCUCGUCAUGGUAACAUGACAUGACCCGGAGAAGCUGGCGGGGACCCCGGGAAGAGUUUUCUUUUCUGCUUGAGGGGUCGAGACCCUGGAAUUCUGUCGUGGAGCGAUAGGGUUUUGACCCCGAAGAGCGCCGCAGGUCUGCGGCGUCCGUGGGUUCUUGCCGGCCCUUGAAAAUCCGGGGGAGGGCCACGUGGACUUUCCAACCGGACCGUACCGAUAUCCGCAUCAGGUCUCCAAGGUGAACAGCCUCUAGUCGAUAGAUGAAUGUAGGUAAGGGAAAUCGGCAAAUUGGAUCCGUAACCUCGGGAUAAGGAUUGGCUCUGAGGGUCAAGGUGGUCGGGCUUGGACGCGAAGCCGGUAGUGCCCACGUGCUGGGCCUGGGCGAGGCCGUUAACGCGGUCGAACCCGGUCCCUAGCCUAAGCCACCGGGGGAACGUCCUCGCAGUAGGGCAGGAUAGUUUGGGCUUGACCCAUUCAUGCCUCCCUCUCGGCUGCCAAUGAACGACCAACUCAGAACUGGCACGAUCCAGGGGAAUCCGACUGUCUAAUUAAAACAAAGCAUUGCGAUGGCCGUAAGAGGGUGGUGACGCAAUGUGAUUUCUGCCCAGUGCUCUGAAUGUCAAAGUGAAGAAAUUCGACGAAGCGCGGGUAAACGGCGGGAGUAACUAUGACUCUCUUAA